rnacentral:lncRNA from 1 species
CUCUUAAAUAACUAAAAUGAGAAAUAUAAAUGAUAUUGUCAUGUGUUCUUGUCCUCACAGGUCACCCAUCCAUGUCCUUAAAGACUGAAUGAAUGAAAGGGGAGCCAGCCUGGACUCACACUUUUGUUUCAGUGCUAAGUUUAUUUAAGGAUUUUUCCUAAAUACGAGUAGCUUGGAUACUAGCUCUGAAAUGACUGCGUUGAUCAGGUUUGUGUUAGCAAGCCCUACUUCUGCUAUGAGGAUAUCAGUGGUCAACAGCAGCUGCGUGGAUUGAAUCACUAUCAGCUCUUGUGUUCAGCAGCUGCUCUGAGCAAACCUAGAUAACACAGAAGUUAGCUGUGCUUGUGCUCGACCGGUCUGCUCCCACAAGUAGAGGAACAUCAGGCUGCUGGCCCUCAGCGCAUCAGGAGCAGCAAGACACGCACCGUUUGCUGCUAGGAGCUAUAGAGAAGCAAAAAAAUCUCUGCAGCAACAAGGUCAGUGCCCCCAGUGCUUCCCUUUAUACCCCAGAGGCCAAACCUAAACAAAACCAGUUGCAUCUCAAUUCCCCUUGUGUAACUUUAAAUUCAAAACCUG